UUGUAAAAACAGUCUCUUAACGGAGUUCACCAUGACCGGAAGGAGGGGAAACACCUAGCUUCCGCCUUAAAAUGUGCCAAAACCUGCAUAGUUUACAGUACAUGUUGCGCCUCGUCAGCUAGCAAGCUACCCAGGCAGCAACACAUCCACCAGUCAUUUAUAUUUGGUCCAAUGAUUAUUUUUGUUAUUCAGUAAUCUGACAAUUCCUCAAUGAAGUUACUAUUUGUUUACUUUAUGUAACAAAAAGCGGCCUUCACAACAAGGUGACGUCUAGUUUUGUCCAACCAAAAACUUUAAGAUAUUCAGCUGCUUUUCUUUGCUUUAUAUCAUAUAUAUGAAUUGUUCCUCAGUGGAUGUUCUGGAUUGAUUCUGGCUCUAUCAAAGUCAGUCUACUUACUGAAACACAAAGAAACCGAGGGAAAGAAACCAUUUGUAACACCUAAAAUCUCCUGAAAUGAGCACCUGAGCUCUUAAUAAAACUGGCAACUUGGUGCACAUUUCACACACAGACCUUGAUGGCGAUGGCGCCCCCCUGUGGGGAGCGUUUGCAGGGAUACGGCCGGCGUGUCCUCCUGGACCAACCACGGAAACGCUUCCUGGACUUCUUCUGGCUCUUUGCUCCACCGUUCAGCGCCUCAUCCACCUUAAAUCCAUGAAUUACAUUUAUUUAUACGGUCGAGCUGCUCUAAAGAGGCACAACCAUCACUGUGACUUCAACAUCACAAAGACUAAAACGGCUUUUACCUUCCCACUCUGGUAGAGGUAGUACCACUUCAGGUUGCUGUUCUUGCAGGCGUAGCGCGUGUCUCCGAACCAGUUGACGAUGUACGUCCUCGGCAGACCGCUGUCCUCCGCCAUCUGGUCGUACUCUUCGGGUGUUGGCCACUGUGUGCGGACGAAGGCCUUCUUCAGGAUGUGAAGCUGCUCUGGCGUCUUUUUGAGCGUCCUCCUGCCGGCGGGUGGCGUGGUCUGCCUCUCCUGACUUGAGGACGAAGGCACAGCUGGUUUCCCCCUCUCGCCGUCCCCCUCCACGUCAUCGUCAUUUGACAGCGUCCCCGAAGGCAUUUUCCGCCUCUCAGUGAACCAAGCGUCCACCUCACGUCGCGUCAGCUUCGUCUCCGCACGCAGCCGGCUCAGCUCCUCGUCCGAGGGCGUGUCUGAUUUCUGGAAGCUGGCCUCCAGGAUGAACAGCUGCUCCGGAGUCUUUUCCUUAAACUUCUGUGGCGUGAAGUCGGGGAAGGCGUGGCGGAAUUUGAUCCGUGGGUCGCUGGGGGAGCCGAACGACACCGGGACGUUGGCAGAAGUCGGAGAGGAAUCGCUGGCGUCGUCACUGGAGUCGAUGACGAUAGUGGCGUUGUUUUCGCUGUUAUUGCUGUCGUUAAGGCUGCCGCUGCUGUUCCUUCCUCCCCGGCUUCCUCCCGGCGUCGCCGCCCUGCUGGACGCGGUUUCGCUCAGCAGAACGCCGUGGUGAUCCUUCGAGUUUCUCUGGUUGUACCGCGUGUCGCUGAACCACUUCUUUAUUGCUCGUUUGGAGAGUUUGGUGACCUGCAUGAGUCGCGAUAUCUCCGCCUCUGUGGCGAACUGUCUCCUGCCGUAGCUCGCCUUCAGCUCCGCCAGCUGCUCUUUGGACUUCUUCGGUUUGGUUGCCGACGCGUCCAAACUGAACGCCGCGCUGGCCGACAUCUCAGUCUUUGAUUCUGACGUCGACGGUUCGGCGGCUUUGGGCUGGUUGCCGGGGACACCUGCGACGGUCAGGGUGAUGGGAGAGGCGACCGGCAUGGUGCCGCCAUUACCGGCCACCUGAGUGAGGACGAGGCCCGGCUGACCGACGAUUUGGCAGGUCUGGAAGAUGGACUGCAGGCCGUUGGUUGCUGCGGCGAUGUUGGCGGGUAUGACGGUGAUGGUCUGGGGGACGGUCUGCACCGUGCCGUUAAACUUCUUCCUCCUCGCCUCCUCCACCUGCAGAGGAAAGCAACAAAGAGCAGACUGUUGAGCUUUAAAUAACAGGACAGAAGUGCUGGACGGUUUCUGGAAAAGGAAAUAAAGUCUGUUGCUAUGAACUCUAACGUAAUAAAGUGAGAGUGAAGUUAAUCGUUAAGGACUUCUUGUACGUGCUGGCUGCUAACGAAGACCGUGUGAUAUGACGGAAAGCUGCAGAAUGGCGACUUAAUGUUCUUUGAGCAUCUUGUGAAGCACAGACCUCCUCCGGCGUCCAGCUGACUCCGUGUUUCAGCCUCUGAGCAGAAAACCAGACCUUGAUCUGCUCCUCGCUGAACUUCGUCUGCGAAGACAAGCCCAUGAUCUCGGACACCGAGGGAUACGGAAACCUGCGACACAAAUCAGAGUUAGCGUCUAACAGGAGGCCGACAGAACCUGAGCCAGCGUCCCAGGAGGCAGCAUGGCGCCGCCGCCCGAGCCGCCUUUGAUCUGCAGCACGUUGGGGCUGUUGACCACGAUGCUCUGCGGGACGGCCUGGACCUGCAGCGGCGUGGAGACGGGGACGAGGCGAGGGGCGGCUGCGGCGGGUGUCAUCGGGGCGGGAGACAGCGUGGGCGGCUCCUUGUUCUCGUCGUCCUCGUCGUCGCUUUCCACUUUGAUGACGUCGUCGACGGCCAGUUUGUGCGAGGCGGUGAACUUCUUGGGAUCCGGUCUGCUCUUGAUCCUCAUGAUGGGCGUCUUGCUGAGGGCGAUGCCUUUGCGGGACGUCUCCUCGGCCUCGUCGUCCUCCACUUUGACAAAGCUGCCGUCGAAGGUGAGGUCGUUGACCGUCUGCUGGAAGAUGGUCUCGUUGUUUCGCUUCACCAUCGUCCGUGUGAAGUUGUCCUCGCCCGGGUGGAGGCGAGCGUUGUGGGCCAGCAGAGUGUCAUAACUAGAGGGGGAGAAACGCAGGUCAGUUAGGUUUGGUUUAUUUAAUGGGAUUAAAUAAAUAACUUGA